rnacentral:misc_RNA from 1 species
AAAGCAACAUGCACUCUCGGAAAGGGAAAAAUAAUAUAUUAGACGGCAGAGAGUUUUGCCUUUACCCUCUAACAAACACCAUUCAUCUUCUUCCUUUCCAUGACAAACUUCCUCCAAACGGUAGUAAUCUCCCUCUGUGUCUCCAAAUCACUCUUCUUGGUGACUAAAAUGGUGCCAUUCUUUUCUUUCUCUUCAGCUAUUGAAAUCUUGGAAGUUACCCUGGCUGGCAGAGUAUCAAGCUCGUUUAGAACUUUAUCUAUGUCAUGAACAAGGCGCUCUGCGAGCGCGCGAGAAAAGUCCUCUCUGAUGACAACUCGAAGCAC